GUGGGCAUAUUUUCUCGCAUCGUUAAUCCUGAAAGGGAAAGGAAAAGCAGGAAGAUGAAAGAAGGAACAGUAAUGUUCAAGUCACCUUAGACUAAGCAAAGCAAACAUCUUCCCCCAUGAUUUUAACUCUCUCCCUAUAAUUCCUUCCAAACUUUCACCUACCGUAUGAAGAACUAAACCCAAAUCUUCCAGAUGGGGUGGCUUCACUCCUUCAUCUCCCCCUUUAAGAAGUUCUGGGAUCGCCUGCACUCUGGCAAUAGAAAGCGGAGAGGGAUAUACAUUCUGUACAAGGACGUGAAGUCUUGCCCAUGUGAAGAUGUGCAGGUCCUGUGGUCAAUCCUGGUUGAGGCUCAUCAGCCAAGUUCUUUGCCGUCGAAAUGAUACAUAGGGGUCUGUUUCAAGGAGGCGGUGGUUCUGCUGUUGUAUUAUACUACAUUUUAAGCUGAGUUUGGCUGGACCGAGUCCAUGUAGAAGAAUGUUGUGAAGCACAGCACUGUGAAUUAUGGUUUGCGUUGGCCCUUGGCAUUGUAGCCGAUAAUAAUGGUCUAUAUAUGGAUGUAUAUGAAUAUAGCAACUGCAUAAUGUUAAUGUAUGCUCAUUGAAGAAUCAAGUUUUUCCUUUUUGUAUAAAUUGAAUAAUGUGAUAAUAUAAUGCAUUAUUUAUAUUGCA